GUAAGUAAUACAUCUUGUGGCUUCACUUCUUUUAUGUGAGUGUACUGACACAGAACUUUCAAUCAAAAUGACUCUGAGCUUUCACUUCCCCAGAGGGCUCUUGUAUGCUGAAGGAACUACCUGCUGAGUCCAGUUCUAGAGACUUGAAGACUGAGAUCUGGGUGCUGGUUUCUGGUGAGAGCCUCUCUUCCUGGCUUGCAGAAGCUACUGGAGAUGCUGGGUGGCUCAGAGGUUGAGUGGCUGCCUUCAGUUCAGGGCGUGA